UUGAUGCGAGUGUCUGUAUGUGUGUGUGUGCGUGCGUGUGUGCGUGUGUGGAUGUGUGGAAGCAAAGGAGGAGGAGAAGGCGGCGAAGGAGAAGGGGGCGCCCGUCCGCUGCCCCAGCGAGCAAGGGGGUUGAAAAACGCAGAGAGAAAGAAGCUCAGCUAUCAUGAGCCAGCGAAGCAAGCGCUAAGUGGGGUCCGCGGCCGGAGGAUCAGAAGCACUUUUAUCUUCCAAGCGCGGAUGGAACGUUGAAGAGGCCACAUCAAAAGCUCCUGGCGGGGGGCAAAACACCCGAUCGAACGUUGGGACAAACGUUCGAUCGAACGUCGGCGCGGCCGAACUCACAGCCCGAGGGGCACAGACAGACCGACCGAACGUUCGGGGGAGCGCCUUUCUCCCGUCCUCUCUAAUUUAUUUUCCCACUCUCGCUUUUUUCUUUUCCUUUCUUUUUUUUUAAAAAAGCCUCCCUCCCUCGUUUUAUUACAUUGUAGCCAUUUCCGUUUGCUUGGACAUUGUUAAAGCUGCCUCCACCGUCUCCGUCGCCGCCGGGAGAACAAUAGGAAGGCAGGAGGGGCGACCGGGGCGCCCACCCCGGCUUCGCCCCGGGAAUCUUCAGCCAUACUUGUGGAUGUAACCCUCCCCCACCACAAAGCUGAGCAGACAGACACCAUUUCAAUCGGUGGGAAUAUGAACCAGCAACAAAGAAUGGCUGCAGCAGGAACCGAUAAAGAAUUAAGCGACCUUCUAGAUUUCAGUAUGAUGUUUCCCUUGCCAGUGACUAAUGGAAAAAACAGACCCACGACUCUCGGUAGCACGCAGUUUGGUGGAUCAGGUAUUGCUUAACUUUCUCUUCCCUUUGGAGAGAAAAGGCCAAGCUCUUUGAUAUAGAUGUAACAUGUUUUCUGAUAUUGAGACUAUGGUUAACAAUCUGGCCCCAGGGACUUAAGACCUCCUUUCCCCAGUUUUAAACACCACUUUUUUUUUGUUUGUUUGCCUUGAUCUCAUCUGCAGGGUUGUUCACAUAAAAGAUGAUCUGGGGCAGGGAUUUAAGAAAUAAAAUGACAUCCUGGUAUUUUGAUUGUGCUAUGGGUUUUUUUUAAAUGUGGGCUUUUUUUAAAAAUGCACUUCUUUAUGCCCUAAAAAUGCAAUGAUGAUGUUACCUAGUUUGGGUAAUGAAACGUCUGCAAGAAAACAACCAAGCUCAGAGAUAAGGAUCCCUAAUUUCAACCCUGAGCUAUUCUCCUUUAUUGGCACUUAUUUAUUUAGCGGUUCAUAUUUUAUAAGCUAAUUGAUGUGUUCUUUUUUUGUUGUUGUUUUUUAAAAGAAAGUCUGAACCCUUAAGUAAGUGUUUUUCAAUUCUGCCAGGGGAAUACUGGGAGUUGAAGUCCACACAAAGUUGCCAAGAUUGAAAAAAAAAAACUGAUUUAAGCAAUUAAAGCA